AGCUCCAAUAGCGUAUAUUAAAGUUGUUGCAGUUAAAAAGCUCGUAGUUGGAUUUCGGAGCCGACCGGGCGGUCUGUCGAGAGACACGCACUGCUCGGUGGCUCUUCCUCUCGGAGGCCCUGGCUGCCCUUAACUGGAGCGGGCAGGGGAUUCGGGACGUUUACUUUGAAAAAAUUAGAGUGUUCAAGGCAGGCGUCACUAGCUUGAAUACAUGAGCAUGGAAUAAUGGAAUAGGACCUCGGUCCCUAUUUCGUUGGUUUUAUGGACCGAGGUAAUGAUUAAGAGGGACAGUUGGGGGCAUCCGUAUUUCGCAGUCAGAGGUGAAAUUCUUGGAUCUGCGAAAGACGAACAAGUGCGAAAGCAUUUGCCAAGAGUGUUUUCAUUAAUCAAGAACGAAAGU
rnacentral:rRNA from 1 species